AGAGUUUGAUCCUGGCUCAGGAUGAACGCUAGCGGCAGGCUUAACACAUGCAAGUCGAGGGGCAGCGAGGGUAAUAGCAAUAUUACCUGUCGGCGACCGGCGCACGGGUGCGUAACGCGUAUGCAACCUACCAUCAACAGGGGGAUAACACUGAGAAAUUGGUACUAAUACCCCAUAAUAUCUCAUGCGGCAUCGCAUGGGGUUGAAAACUCCGGUGGUUGAUGAUGGGCAUGCGUUGUAUUAGCUGGUUGGUGAGGUAACGGCUCACCAAGGCGACGAUGCGUAGCCGACCUGAGAGGGUGACCGGCCACACUGGGACUGAGACACGGCCCAGACUCCUACGGGAGGCAGCAGUAGGGAAUUUUCGGCAAUGGGGGGAACCCUGACCGAGCAACGCCGCGUGAAGGAAGAAGGAAUUCGUUCUGUAAACUUCUGUUAUAAAGGAAGAAAGACGGAUGGAGGAAAUGACGUCCGAGUGACGGUACUUUAUGAGAAAGCCACGGCUAACUACGUGCCAGCAGCCGCGGUAAUACGUAGGUGGCAAGCGUUAUCCGGAAUUAUUGGGCGUAAAGAGGGAGCAGGCGGCAGCAAAGGUCUGUGGUAAAAGACUGAAGCUUAACUUCAGUAAGCCAUAGAAACCGGGCAGCUAGAGUGCAGGAGAGGAUCGUGGAAUUCCAUGUGUAGCGGUGAAAUGCGUAGAUAUAUGGAGGAACACCAGUGGCGAAGGCGACGAUCUGGCCUGCAACUGACGCUCAGUCCCGAAAGCGUGGGGAGCAAAUAGGAUUAGAUACCCUAGUAGUCCACGCCGUAAACGAUGAAUACUAAGUGUUGGAAGUCAAAUUUCAGUGCUGCAGUUAACGCAGUAAGUUCUCCGCCUGAGUAGUACGUUCGCAAGAAUGAAACUCAAAGGAAUUGACGGGGGCCCGCACAAGCGGUGGAGCAUGUGGUUUAAUUCGAAGCAACGCGAAGAACCUUACCAGGUCUUGACAUACUCAUAAAGGAUCCAGAGAUGGAUAGAUAGUUAUAUGAGAUACAGGCGGUGCAUGGUUGUCGUCAGCUCGUGUCGUGAGAUGUUGGGUUAAGUCCCGCAACGAGCGCAACCCUUGUCGUUAGUUACCAUCAUUAAGUUGGGGACUCUAGCGAGACUGCCAGUGACAAGCUGGAGGAAGGCGGGGAUGACGUCAAAUCAUCAUGCCCCUUAUGACCUGGGCUACACACGUGCUACAAUGGAUGGUGCAGAGGGAAGCGAAGCCGCGAGGCGAAGCAAAACCCAUAAAACCAUUCUCAGUUCGGAUUGUAGUCUGCAACUCGACUACAUGAAGUUGGAAUCGCUAGUAAUCGCGAAUCAGCAUGUCGCGG
rnacentral:rRNA from 1 species